rnacentral:tRNA from 1 species
GGCUUCGUAGCUCAGCUGGUAGAGCGCUUGCCGCCUUGAGGCAUGCCGUGUCUGUUGCUGGUUCGAGUCCAGCCGAAGCCC